rfam:Soil-borne wheat mosaic virus strain NY movement protein gene, complete cds.
AACCUAUUUGCUCGGGUUGAGUGCAA